UNCACACAGCCAAAUAAGCCUAACUUGAC
rnacentral:piRNA from 1 species